GGGCACGGCCACCAUUUCAGCCAGUUCUGGAGAAACAACAUCUGCAUUGGCCAAAGGAUAAAAAAGCCCUUCACCCCGUGGCCCAAUUUAGCUAUAUGUCACCAAGCUGGGCCCGGUGGAUGAGAAGAUCUGGGCUGUGAAGGAAUCCACGACCAUCUGAAACAGCUUGUGCCGAAUGCCCAGAACUCUAUGCCUCCCGAGUCCUGACCCAUGCCUCAUAUCUCUGCUGAUGAUGUCUCCUUGGCUGCCCUAGAACAUCAUCUCUCUCCAUA